rnacentral:rRNA from 1 species
UCCGUAGGUGAACCUGCGGAAGGAUCAUUACCAAAAGAUAAUCUUUCAACUCGAAAGAUCUUUUCCUUUGUGCUGGCUUUGACCGUAUGUAAUUUUGGGACUUAAACAUGGUAAAGCCUUAUGGUUUGGCCGGUCCCAAAAACAAUAUAUCAUCCUUAUGAAAAACUUACUGAACAACUAAACAAUGAUUUUAAUAAUCUGUUUAAAACAACUUUCAACAACGGAUCUCUUGGUUCUCGCAUCGAUGAAGAACGCAGCGAAAUGCGAUACGUAAUGUGAAUUGCAGAAUUCAGUGAAUCAUCGAAUCUUUGAACGCACAUUGCACUCCUUGGUAUUCCGAGGAGUAUGCCUGUUUCAGUAUCAUGAGCACUCUCACACCUAACCUUUGGGUUAUGCUGUGGAAUUGGGAUGCGCCGAUUUUUACUAGUCGGCACUCCUAAAAUGUAGCUCUUGGCUGUUUCCUACUACAGCAGUUUGGCCUAAUAGUUUUGACUUUUGUCAAAUCUUUGGCUACAUUUGCUUCUGGAAAUCAGUCUUGAUAAUACAGAAAACUCAUUUCAAACUUUGAUCUGAAAUCAGGUAGGGCUACCCGCUGAACUUAAGCAUAUCAAUAAGCGGAGGA